rnacentral:rRNA from 1 species
CCUGGCGACCAUAGCGGACUGGACCCACCUGAUCCAUCUCGAACUCAGUCGUGAAACGGGCUUGCGCCGAUGAUAGUGUGGGGUUUCCCCAUGUGAAAGUAGGUCAUUGCCAGGG